rnacentral:lncRNA from 1 species
GCCCCAUCUUGGCCCUCCGGCGCCGCGGCGGGAUCCUUUGGGCGCUUCUCCGCCCGGCGCCGCCCGCCCCGCCUUCCUGGGUCUCCCGCGUCCUCCGGGGGCCGCCCGGCUGGGCUUCGUGGAGGCGGCGGGCGGGCGAGCGAGGAGGGGAAGCAGCGGCCCCGAAGUCCCGGGGGGGGGGCCAGGAGAAGCGCCUGGCGGCGGGAGGCCGAGCCAGCCCUCGCUCCGCCUGGACCGAAGACGCCGAUCCAGGCAGGACGCCGCUUUCCUGUCCUCCUCAAGGCCCCGCAGGCCAGCCAUGCAGGGCAGAAUCGGGACCCGGGUCCAUCCCUCAUGAGGAGCCCUGCAUAAAUGAGAGAACUUCCCGUGCCCAGUGAGGGAAGGCAGGAUAACUUUUUGAAAAUGAAAACAAAUGGGAAAUGCUCCUCAUAAUGGAAGAAGUUUGAUAGGUAUGUGCCACAUUCUGGAUGAUUUGAUACUCCCUCUCUAUUUGUCUGCCUUCCUCACCCUGUGACAGAUGGCUCCACAGAAGAAAGCCAUCGUGGCCCGUCUUAGCAUCUCUUGCAAAAUCAGAGAUUCAUGCAACCACUUCUGCAACCAGGUUGUGACCAUCACAAUGGAAGUUGUGCUCCCU